rnacentral:rRNA from 1 species
AUUGAACGCUGGCGGCAGGCCUAACACAUGCAAGUCGAGCGAGUGGCGGACGGGUGAGUAAUGUAUGGGAAACUGCCCGAUGGAGGGGGAUAACUACUGGAAACGGUAGCUAAUACCGCAUACCAUCGGAUGUACCCAUAUGGGAUUAGCUAGUAGGUGGGGUAACGGCUCACCUAGGCGACGAUCCCUAGCUAGUCUGAGAGGAUGACCAGCCACACUGGAACUGAGACACGGUCCAGACUCCUACGGGAGGCAGCAGUGGGGAAUAUUGCACAAUGGGCGCAAGCCUGAUGCAGCCAUGCCGCGUGUAUGAAGAAGGCCUUCGGGUUGUAAAGUACUUUCAGUGAGGAGGCGUUACUGACAGAAGAAGCACCGGCUAACUCCGUGCCAGCAGCCGCGGUAAUAC